UAAUAACUAAAUCCUCCCAUCACUCUUCUCUAUGCGAACUGCUGUUAAACCUUCAUUUGUGCCCUAAAUUGUGAUGCAACUGCACUUUCCCUUAGCAAAUCGGAAGAGUACA